CGCACAGCUUCCCCGUCCUCACCCGGGCGGGGGGUCGAAGCUGCAACCCCCAGCGCGGGGCACACGUGCGCGCAGGAUUUACAAUGAAGUGGCUGGUAAAAUGGGAGCAGCUGGUUCAGCUCUGCUUGAAUGCUGGAUUUAAUGCGCUGAAACUACUUCCACUGGUGUGUGUGGCUGGGCAUGUGUUUUUGAUGCAAAAGCUUUAACUUUGGUGUGAUAUUUCACAUGUUAAAACACAUCUCUCAGCAUAGCUUCCCCCCCACCUCAAAAUGCUUUGACAAAGCAAAGUAAGUUUGUGUUAUUAUCAGCUUCCCUUGCCUCAUUUUUCUCUUCUUGCUUCUCAUUAAUACACAAGUGGUAUUAAAUAAAUAAUAAUGAUGCCAGUA